AAAUUUCACUUGCUUGAUGGACGAUGUGGUGAAGGCUUAUCCUGGCGCAACUUUCGCUUCAUACAGGGUAAGCCAGGACCUACUUAAGGCGUUCUUGCUAAAAAUAUGUUUGACAAAAAGGAACACGAUCAGAUCGGCUGUGGAGAUCGGUACAAUUGUGCAAUCGUCUAAGGAACCUGCAGUUGUUCCGGUAUAAAAAAGGCCUAAGAACAACCGACGAUUACGUCUUCAUCAACGAGAUCAAUUACAAUACGGAAGAAGGACCUGAAGAAGAGUUCGCACCAUUCGGGCUCGAUGGGGAGGUGUUUACAGACCAGCACAAGUUGGAGUUUAAGUACCACGAAACGAGAUACCCGCGGUUGCUCACGGCAUUUGGAAUAGCGCGCUACAUCCUUGAGCAGCUGAAUUGCCUUCACUGCUUGCGUGACAUGACGGAAGAGGAGGACGAUUUUUGCGAGGAGGUGUUGGGUCGAAAAGUUGCAAAGGAAAUAAUUGAACACUCACCAGCAGCCGACGUUCCCGAAACCAGAUGUGGAUGUAGCUUAUGAUGUGUUUCGCGCAGCAAUGGACCAGCACAUGGUGGAACCACCAGCCCGUGCAGGCAAUAUUGGUGGCACGGCUUGCCUUUUUCAGGACAGCUGGAUCCUGCAGUAGCGGCGUGAUGCACCGAAUUAAUUUACUAGUAUUCCUGCUGUUUAUUCUGCUGACAGGCAGAAACUUCAGGCAGCCAGUUGAUUGGAACGUGUCUGCAUUCUAAGUUUAAAUUAAAAGGGUCCACCGACGAUGCAAAUUACGGAAAAUCAUGCGAAAAAAACCGCAAAGUAAAGAUAAUUAAAAUUUCAUUUUAGAUUUAAAAAAAAACAUGGAGCAGAAUUCGAAGGUCGUAGUCAUAAUGAUAUCAACACACCGGCACAUAUAUAACACGAACCACAUUCAAUCUCAGCACUUCCUAGGUAAAAUCCCAAGGCAGGGGAAAAACUGGCAACAGAACUAAACAUAAUCGCUUUGAGGAGGAUUUAAGAACUAAGUCGAUUUUCAGAGGUCCACAGCGACACGCAUCCCAGACAGCCGUCGCUCAAGGGUGAUCGACAUUAAACA